rnacentral:sRNA from 1 species
AAAUAAACCCGACAGACAGCGUUAUCCCGAUUGGAGUAUUAUAUAUUUUAUCCUUAGGAUUUCAAUCGGGAUUAAGCAAAUGGCGGGAAUAUCA